GGGGAAUAUUGCGCAAUGGGGGAAACCCUGACGCAGCGACGCCGUGUGAGGGAAGAAGGCCUUCGGGUCGUAAACCUCUGUCGGGAGGGAAGAACCGCCGGUUUCCGAACAGGGAGCCGGUCUGACGGUACCUCCGAAGGAAGCGCCGGCUAACUCCGUGCCAGCAGCCGCGGUAAUACGGAGGGCGCGAGCGUUAAUCGGAAUCACUGGGCGUAAAGCGCGCGUAGGCGGCCAGAUAAGUCGGGCGUGAAAGCCCUCGGCUCAACCGGGGAACUGCGUUCGAUACUGUUUGGCUUGAGUCCUGGAGAGGGUGGCGGAAUUCCGGGUGUAGGAGUGAAAUCCGUAGAUAUCCGGAGGAACACCGGUGGCGAAGGCGGCCACCUGGACAGGUACUGACGCUGAGGUGCGAAAGCGUGGGGAGCAAAC
rnacentral:rRNA from 1 species